rnacentral:lncRNA from 1 species
GAGUGGAAAGUUCUGAGAGUCUGUGGCUCAGCCAUCGUGACUAUGUAACCAGUAUUGGUCGGUGGCCCAAGGUCUCUCUCCUUUCAGGGUUCAACCUCCAACCUUAUUUCUGCUUCCUUCAUGUUGGAAUUCACACUGUGAGGCAAGCCCCAGCUGAGUGUUAUUCCCUGAUGACCCUUCCAGCUGUUACUACUGAUUUGGGCGGAGACUUUUACUGGCUUCCUGAUAACAAAGCCCUCAUAGGAGGGAAUCUCUCAACAGCAGAAGGCUGUGGCUACUGGAACGCUGAGUUCUCUCAGACACAUUGAAAAAGUAUUGUCUUGCUACAGUGAAGCCUUACCGUCAUGGAAUACACUAGACCGUGCUGCUACCAUAUUCUGCGUUGGAUGUGAGUUCUCAAGUUCUGGUCCAUGGGGAAUGGGCAAGUGAAGAUGAGAAUUGCAAAAAACUAUACUCCGACCAAUAGAAUUGUUGUCAUCCUUUCUCUACGACUCCAAGAGAAACUUUAUACUGGAGGAAGAAUAUUCUACCACUUUGGGAUGCUUCCAAAGAAAUGGGAUACCAAAGGAGUGAACUUCAGGUCAUUGGAAGUGGCCAAGCUGGAGGGCGACCUAUGGAGACAUGUCCACUUCUGUAUGUUCUCCUGUGGGUCACAGGACUGUCUAUGCAUCCAUACAAAAUGCAAAACAGGGGAUGACAUCCUAGAAUGAAUUGUGGCAAAACAGCUUCAAACUAGCCAAGAAGACAAACAAAAUAUGGAGGGAAAAUUGAAUAAAAUUAAAUACCCAGAGUAAUGCCCCCCAA